rnacentral:rRNA from 11 species
UAUAGUGCUGACCUUUCCAGCUUAAGGGCACCAGAUCCCAUCUGAUCAUGGAAGCUAAGCAGGGUCAGUCCUCUUAGAAUUUGGGUGGGAGACCACCAAUGAAUACCAGAUGCUAUAU